AACGAACGCUGGCGGCAUGCCUAACACAUGCAAGUCGAACGAGACCUUCGGGUCUAGUGGCGCACGGGUGCGUAACGCGUGGGAACCUGCCCUUAGGUUCGGAAUAACUCCCCGAAAGGGGUGCUAAUACCGGAUAAUGUCUUCGGACCAAAGAUUUAUCGCCUUUGGAUGGGCCCGCGUUGGAUUAGCUAGUUGGUAGGGUAAAAGCCUACCAAGGCGACGAUCCAUAGCUGGUCUGAGAGGAUGAUCAGCCACACUGGGACUGAGACACGGCCCAGACUCCUACGGGAGGAAGCAGUGGGGAAUAUUGGACAAUGGGAGAAAGCCUAAUCCAGCAAUGCCGCGUGAGUGAUGAAGGCCUUAGGGUUGUAAAGCUCUUUUAACCGGGAUGAUAAUGACAGUACCGGGAGAAUAAGCUCCGGCUAACUCCGUG
rnacentral:rRNA from 1 species